AACAUUUUUAACUUAUGAGAUUGGGACUUCACAUUAAUCUCUAAUCUUUGAGAUGUGCCUCCCUCAAACCUUGCUACAGUAUUGGCACAUUACCCAUCUCACA
rnacentral:snoRNA from 10 species